rnacentral:rRNA from 1 species
GACGAACGCUGGCGGCGUGCCUAAUACAUGCAAGUAGAACGCUGAAGGAGGAGCUUGCUUCUCUGGAUGAGUUGCGAACGGGUGAGUAACGCGUAGGUAACCUGCCUGGUAGCGGGGGAUAACUAUUGGAAACGAUAGCUAAUACCGCAUAAUAUUGACUACUGCAUGAUAGUCAGUUGAAAGGUGCAACUGCACCACUACCAGAUGGACCUGCGUUGUAUUAGCUAGUUGGUGGGGUAACGGCUCACCAAGGCGACGAUACAUAGCCGACCUGAGAGGGUGAUCGGCCACACUGGGACUGAGACACGGCCCAGACUCCUACGGGAGGCAGCAGUAGGGAAUCUUCGGCAAUGGACGGAAGUCUGACCGAGCAACGCCGCGUGAGUGAAGAAGGUUUUCGGAUCGUAAAGCUCUGUUGUAAGAGAAGAACGAGUGUGAGAGUGGAAAGCUCACACUGUGACGGUAUCUUACCAGAAAGGGACGGCUAACUACGUG